GACGAACGCUGGCGGCGUGCUUAACACAUGCAAGUCGAACGGUAAGGCCCUUCGGGGUACACGAGUGGCGAACGGGUGAGUAACACGUGGGUGAUCUGCCCUGCACUUCGGGAUAAGCCUGGGAAACUGGGUCUAAUACCGGAUAGGACCCUGGGAUGCAUGUCCUGGGGUGGAAAGCUUUUGUGGUGUGGGAUGGGCCCGCGGCCUAUCAGCCUGUUGGUGGGGUGAUGGCCCACCAAGGCGACGACGGGUAGCCGGCCUGAGAGGGUGACCGGCCACACUGGGACUGAGAUACGGCCCAGACUCCUACGGGAGGCAGCAGUGGGGAAUAUUGCACAAUGGGCGCAAGCCUGAUGCAGCGACGCCGCGUGAGGGAUGACGGCCUUCGGGUUGUAAACCUCUUUCAGCACCGACGAAGCGCAAGUGACGGUAGGUGCAGAAGAAGGACCGGCCAACUACGUGCCAGCAGCCGCCGCAG
rnacentral:rRNA from 1 species